rnacentral:tRNA from 1 species
AUGUAGCUCAGUGGCAGAGCACAGGUUUUGCAUGUAUGUGGCCCUAGGUUCAAUCCCCAGCAU